ensembl:lncRNA SEPTIN7P11 septin 7 pseudogene 11
CGGAUGACUGGCCGCAGGCGGCCGGGCGGGCUGUAACCCGCCGCUGAACUAGCGCUUCUGUGUCCAGAGGCUUCGGCCUGGCCGCCGUCGCCUGUAAGCUACGAGGAGGAGAUUUACGACUUGGCCGGGCGCAGCAAAGGCCAGACUCUGCGCGAACAGGCGCUGCGCACCAACCGGCAGGCACCUGGCGGGCACCAUCGCACGGUGGCGCAGAAGCCCCUCAAUGGCCAGCGCCAGCUGCAGCCGCGGCCGCGCAGUCGUCCCACCUGAGCUUGGGCGAAUGUGGAUUGGGAAAGUCGACAUUAAUCAACUCAUUAUUCCUCAUAGAUUUGUAUUCUCCAGAGUAUCCAGGUCCUUCUCACAGAAUUAAAAAGACUGUACAGCUGGCAGCCUGUUAUCGAUUACAUUGAUAGUAAAUUUGAGGACUACCUAAAUGCAGAAUCAUGCGUGAACAGACAUCAGAUGCCUGAUAACAGGGUGCAGUGUUGUUCAUACUUCAUUGCUCCUUCAGGACAUGGACUUAAACCAUUGGAUAUUGAGUUUAUGAAGCGUUUGCAUGAAAAAGUGAGUAUCACCCCACUUAUUGCCAAAGCAGACACACUCACACCAGAGGAAUGCCAACAGUUUAAAAAACAGUUGAAAAUGGUGAACAUUGUUAUUUUACAAUUCUAAGAAAUAUGUUGAUAAGUGAAAAUAUCUAUAACCAGCAUCCAAGAGGGAUACUGUUGGUGAAACCUGCUUAGCCGAGGACUGGCUGUGUGUGUGCCUCCAGACCAAUCAUAUGUUUGUUUUGAGAUACAUUUUUUGGAGGAAGGUAACUUUUCCGGUCACACACAACAGACUGAUUUUCCUGUGGAAGACCUCACAGGAGUUCUCUUGAACCAGGAGACUAUUUUGAGCUGAAAUACCUGGAGCCCUCUCAAGCUAUUUGGGCCUUUCAAUUUGAAACCCAGGUUUGGAUGAUUCUAAGCUCUAUGGCAGAGACUGUAAUCAUUUUCUCUUCACCCUCAGGUUGGGGACUCACCCUCAGGGUUGGGAGUGACUGCUGUCUCUCCAGCCCCCACCAAUUACACCAUGUUCUGGUUGUUAAAAUCCAGUGUAUGCAUGAAAUGUAAUAAAAGUAUCUUCGCAGCACUAA